rnacentral:snoRNA from 1 species
AGCUUUCUGGUGCUUAUGACAGGCUGUGUUCUUAUACUAACUGUAUAGAAAGAGGAGGCAAAAUAAACCUAUCCCAUAAACGCCUCAGCCCAGGCCCUGUGCCUGGUCUGUAUUGUGAAUUUGGAGAAAUGA